UACGUAGGGGGCAAGCGUUACCCGGAUUCACUGGGCGUAAAGCGCGUGUAGGCGGCUGGCCAAGCGUGGUGUGAAAUCUCCGGGCUCAACCCGGAAACUGCACUGCGAACUGGCCUGGCUGGAGUGCAGGAGAGGGAUGCGGAAUUCACGGUGUAGCGGUGAAAUGCGUAAAUAUCGUGAGGAACACCAGUGGCGAAGGCGGCAUCCUGGCCUGUAACUGACGCUGAGACGCGAAAGCGUGGGGAGCGAACCGG
rnacentral:rRNA from 1 species